UGUAUUGGUGGACAUGCGGCGCUUGUUACCCUGCUGCUGGAGUAUCCGUACCCUGAAACGAUGCUCAACACAUACACUGACGCGUCAGGCCAGUGGCGGUAUCGCUUCUCGUUCGACGUGAACGCGCGCGACGCCAGCGGACAGACCGCGCUGUACGUCGCCUGCACUCUCGGCAACGCAGCUGUCGUUGAAGCGCUGCUAGCUUUUACCCUGCCCAAGGAGAAGGUGCUCACGGAGCAGACUGAUGUAGGAGAUGAGGCAAAUGAGACA